rnacentral:lncRNA from 1 species
AAUGCCUAAAAUCAACAAAGUGAGAAAUGUUUAAGUGUUCAAAGACCUGAUAGGGGUUGAAGAGGCUGGCUAUAUUUUGAUAUGACACUAAAUUAGCUGCUGUCUGAUGAGAUGGUGAACAUAAGCGCUAACACAUACUGAGUGGUUUCUACAUGCUGGGCACCAUGCAGAUACUCUGCAUACAAUAAUCUCAUUUAUUACUCAUAAACAUUAUCUGAGGUAGACUCUCCUGUUCUCGUCUUGGUUUUGCAGAUGAGAAAGCGGGAACAGAGAUGUGAAGACAUUGCCCAAGGCACACGGUGAAUAAAAAUAGGAGAGUCUGAAUUUCAACCCUGGUCUGUCUGACACAAAUGCCCAGGUUCCAACUACUCUGCUAUGCUGCUAUCUCUCUUGGAUUUCUAUUCUUCAGUGAGCUCCCUCAUUGGGGAAACUGAAAAGUAACUACUGUAAUGAGAAGUUUACAUCAGCAACUGUGUUAUCUUUUCCUCCCCCUUGACAACCACUGAUUUGCUUGCCAUCAUUAGAGAUUAGUUUUCAAGUUCUACAGCUGUGCUGUCUCUAGCCUCAUAAGCUCGUGAACAUGAGUUGUGGCUGAUCUGGAUUAAGAUGUAACACAUGGGAUUUUGAAGAUUUAGUAUGAAGAAUAAUAUAAAUUAUCCAAUUUUAAAAUAAUGAAUAUAUGUUGAAAUAGUAUACUAAAUAUAUUGGAUUAAAUAAAAUAUAAUAUUAAAAUUAAUUUAAUUGUUUCUUUUCACUCUUUUAAAAGUGGUUACCAG